rnacentral:rRNA from 1 species
AUUGAACGCUGGCGGCAUGCCUAACACAUGCAAGUCGAACGGCAGCGCAGUCUUCGGCCUCUCGGCGGGUGGCGCACGGGUGAGUGUUGCAUCGAAACAUCCCCCUUUGUUGUUUCGAGCCCGACGACGGCCGGAUAAAUACCGCAUAAGACCAUAAGUUGUACGCGGGGGACCGAUAGACCUCGCGCCAUUGCACCGUCCCAUGUGGGAUUAGCUAGUUGGCGGGGUAAAGGCGUACCAAGGCGACGAUCCGUAGCUGGUCUGAGAGGACGAGCAGCCACACUGGAACUGAGACACGGCCCAGACUCCUACGGGAGGCAGCAGUGGGGAAUUUUGGACAAUGGGGGCAACCCUGAUCCAGCCAUGCCGCGUGGGGGAAGAAGGCCUUCGGGUUGUAAACCCCUUUUGUUGGGGAAGAAAAGCUGUGGGCUAAUACCCCGCGGGGAUGACGGUACCGUAAGAAUAAGCACCGGCUAACUACGUG